AUUGAACGCUGGCGGCAUGCCUUACACAUGCAAGUCGAACGGUUACGGGCCUUUUGCUCCUGACUUCUGGGGCAGGGGGGAGUAUUACAUCUGAAAGUGUCCCUUCUUGGGGGAGAUCACGUCGGGAGCUGUGCGCAAAUCCCACACGCUCUCCGGGUGAAAGCAUGGGGCCUCAUCGCACUUCACGGUCUCAGCUGCGGCUAGGGCAGAUUAGGUAGUUGGUGGGGUAAAAGCAUACCAAGGCGACGAUCUGUAGCUGGUCUGAGAGGAUGAUCAGCCACACUGGGACUGAGACACGGCCCAGACUCCUACGGGAGGCAGCAGUGGGGAAUUUUGGACAAUGGGCGCAAGCCUGAUCCAGCCAUGCCGCGUGCAGGAUGAAGGCCUUCGGGUUGUAAACUGCUUUUGUACGGAACGAAAAGCCUUCUUUUAAUACAGGAGGGUCAUGACGGUACCGUAAGAAUAAGCACCGGCUAACUACGUG
rnacentral:rRNA from 1 species